AGGGUGUAAACGCUGCAGACUUGGUGUUGGGAACCCUUCGGGGUGCUCAGUGCCGGAGAGAAGUUGUUAAGUCUGCUACUUGGGGAGUACGUCCGCAAGGACGAAACUUAAAGGAAUUGGCGGGGGAGCACCGCAACGGGAGGAGCGUGCGGUUUAAUUGGAUUCAGCGCCGAAAAACUCACCAGCAGCGACUGUUACAUGAAACCCAGACUAAUGAUCUUGGUUGAUUUUUCAGAGAGGUGGUGCAUGGCGUCAGUGACU
rnacentral:rRNA from 1 species